UGAGAAAUGUCAUAUUCGCUAGAACCUCGAAAAUUCUAUUUAUACAAAGCGAGUUUCAGUGUUAAAAUGCGUUGGCUGAAGUCAUCUUGAUUGUUGAUAAAAUAUGAAGUAAUUAUUAAGUUUUAGUAACCAUAAUGAAGCCCAGUGCUAAAAUGUACAAGUUUUAUUACAACCACUAUCACAAAAGCCGGCGCACGGAUAGGUCAAGAAAAUAAAUGGCAGUGUAGUCUAGUUUAAUCAAUCGUUAGGUCAGCUGCUUUGACCCGCAUUGAGUGAUAUUAAUGUUAUUCAAUGUUAAUCACAAUAAUAAUCAAAUAUACAGUUUAAUGAAUAGAUAAAUGAAAAUGUGAGCCAGUGAUAACGUAAUUUUAUAAAUAGGUUUAGUCGAGCUUUAAUAACUGUGCAGUGCUGUGAUACAAUUCGCAUUUAUUUUAAAUCUCUAAUAUAUAUAUUAUAUUUUGAACUUAAGCUAACAGUGUUGGUUGAGAUUAAUAGUUUACAAGGAUUAAGAAACCCCAUGGCCACUUGUUCCUGUUUAACGAUUCAGUAACCAAACUCGACAGAUAGAAAAUAAAUGGGUCGCAAGAAAGCGACGCCAGUGCCACCAGUGGCCAAUAGUAGAGGUACCAACACAACCGUACCAGAAAAUACAGGAGCUCCGGUUAUGACAGAACUCGAUAAUGUCACGCAC